GACGAACGCUGGCGGCGUGCUUAACACAUGCAAGUCGAACGGAAAGGCCCUGCUUUUGUGGGGUGCUCGAGUGGCGAACGGGUGAGUAACACGUGAGUAACCUGCCCUUGACUUUGGGAUAACUUCAGGAAACUGGGGCUAAUACCGGAUAGGAGCUCCUGCUGCAUGGUGGGGGCUGGAAAGUUUCGGCGGUUGGGGAUGGACUCGCGGCUUAUCAGCUUGUUGGUGGGGUAGUGGCUUACCAAGGCUUUGACGGGUAGCCGGCCUGAGAGGGUGACCGGCCACAUUGGGACUGAGAGACGACCCAGACUCCUACGGGAGGCAGCAGUGGGGAAUAUUGCACAAUGGGCGGAAGCCUGAUGCAGCAACGCCGCGUGCGGGAUGACGGCCUUCGGGUUGUAAGCCGCUUUCGCCUGUGACGAAGCGGGAGUGACGGUAAUGGGUAAAGAAGCACCGGCUAACUACGUG
rnacentral:rRNA from 1 species